UACGUAGGCAGCAAGCGUUGUUCGGAAUUACUGGGCGUAAAGCGCGCGUAGGCGGCUUUGUAAGUUAGAGGUGAAAGCCCGGAGCUCAACUCCGGAAUUGCCUUUAAGACUGCAUCGCUAGAAUCAUGGAGAGGUUAGUGGAAUUCCGAGUGUAGAGGUGAAAUUCGUAGAUAUUCGGAAGAACACCAGUGGCGAAGGCGACUAACUGGACAUGUAUUGACGCUGAGGUGCGAAAGCGUGGGGAGCAAACAGG
rnacentral:rRNA from 1 species